rnacentral:misc_RNA from 1 species
UUAAGUUCAGCGGGUAUUCCUACCUGAUUCGAGGUCAACCUUUGAAAGUAGGGGGUUUUACGGCGUGGCCGCGCCGCGCUCCGUAUGCGAGGUUGUAAACUACUACGCAGAGGAGGCUGCGGCGAGACCGCCACUGUAUUUCGGGGGCGGCAGGCGCUGAAGGCAAGCCGGUCCCCAACACCAAGCAGUGCUUGAGGGUU